UGAGAAGAUUGGAGCCUAAGAAGUUUAGCUACUGUUUCCGCGUACUCUGAUGUUUUCAGGGGAUCUACAGUUGCACUUGCAAGCAAAUAAUGGGUCAGUUUGUUUUUUACCUAAUUUACCUAUGUAUCACUUUCGGUAGCUAUGGUCUUCAGCAGCAGGCCUCAAUGACUAAUAGUAACUCUGCCCAAGUGACCUUAUUCUAAUUUUAAUGUGCUAAUAGUAGUUCUUUUGAAGGAGGACCUCACUCUGAAACUGAGUUGUUGAGAUUGUUAAGAGGUGAAACACCCCGUGUGACAAACGCUAUGUAUUUUGAGUUGAUGUUUUUUUGAGCUCAUGUUCAGUGGCAAACACUUUGUAUUUUGGCAGUCGGUGAAGGAGCUGAACUUGUGACAAAAAAGAAUUGACCACUGCGCUACGCAAUUUAUUUUAUUGUAUUAUAAGUCUUGUUAUUGGCCAUUUAAUGAUGAGAUCAUAUUAUUCAA